CCUACGGGCGGCAGCAGUGGGGAAUAUUGGACAAUGGGGGCAACCCUGAUCCAGCCAUGCCACGUGUGUGAAGAAGGCCCUCGGGUUGUAAAGCACUUUCAGUGAGGAAGAACGCCUGGUGGUUAAUACCCAUCAGGAAAGACAUCACUCACAGAAGAAGCACCGGCUAACUCCGUGCCAGCAGCCGCGGUAAUACGGAGGGUGCGAGCGUUAAUCGGAAUUACUGGGCGUAAAGCGCGCGUAGGUGGCUUGAUAAGCCGGUUGUGAAAGCCCCGGGCUCAACCUGGGAACGGCAUCCGGAACUGUCAAGCUAGAGUGCAGGAGAGGAAGGUAGAAUUCCCGGUGUAGCGGUGAAAUGCGUAGAGAUCGGGAGGAAUACCAGUGGCGAAGGCGGCCUUCUGGACUGACACUGACACUGAGGUGCGAAAGCGUGGGUAGCAAACAGGAUUAGAUACCCCGGUAGUC
rnacentral:rRNA from 1 species